GUAUAUGAGGAUCAUCUGGUUGUGAUUUGCAUCAUCCCAUUGAUCACCAAGGUUGAUUCCACAUAUCUGACUAUCUAGGUGGGUGUUCCUUUCCUCUCUUACCACUCUUGCGCUUUUCUUCUGAAGUUGCAUGCUGGGUCAAAGAAGACGGACUUCCCUGAAUAGAGACAGACCACUCUUCAAUAGAGGGUAUAUUAGUGGCAAAACAUUCCUGUCAGAACCUCCAAAUGGCCUCUUAAAAUAAGAACAAUUUUAUUGUGGUGUCCAAAAGACUGACAAAUUGAGAACAAUGUAAAAGUUUUU
rnacentral:snRNA from 1 species